CGUUGGUGAGCUGACAAAAAGCGUUAUAACCAACGAUGUCCGAAUGGGGAAACCCGGCACUUCGGUGUCAUCUGCAACUGAAUACAUAGGUUGCAGAAGCGAACGAGGGGAACUGAAACAUCUAAGUACCCUUAGGAAGAGAAAUCAAUUGAGAUUGCCUUAGUAGCGGCGAGCGAACGGGUAACAGCCGAUGGUUUAUGUUGUAGUGGAACGGUCUGGAAAGUCCGGCGAUACAGGGUGAUAGCCCCGUACACGAAGCAUGAUAUAUCACAUAUUAAGUAGGACGGGACACGUGUUAUCUUGUCUGAAGAUGGGGGGACCAUCCUCCAAGGCUAAAUACUCCUGGCUGACCGAUAGUGAACCAGUACCGUGAGGGAAAGGUGAAAAGCACCCCGACGAGGGGAGUGAAACAGUUUCUGAAACCGGACGCCUACAAGCAGUCGGAGCCUCCUUGAGAGGUGACGGCGUACCUUUUGUAUAAUGGGUCAGCGACUUAAUUUAACGAGCAAGCUUAAGCCGGUAGGUGUAGGCGUAGCGAAAGCGAGUCUGAAUAGGGCGAACAGUCAGUGGGGGUAGACGCGAAACCCUGUGAUCUACCCAUGGUCAGGUUGAAGUGUAGGUAACACUACAUGGAGGACCGAACC
rnacentral:rRNA from 1 species